rnacentral:rRNA from 1 species
UACGUAGGGUGCGAGCGUUAAUCGGAAUUACUGGGCGUAAAGCGUGCGCAGGCGGUUUUGUAAGUCAGAUGUGAAAUCCCCGGGCUCAACCUGGGAACUGCGUUUGAAACUACAAGGCUAGAGUGUAGCAGAGGGGGGGUAGAAUUCCACGUGUAGCAGUGAAAUGCGUAGAGAUGUGGAGGAAUACCGAUGGCGAAGGCAGCCCCCUGGGAUAACACUGACGCUCAUGCACGAAAGCGUGGGGAGCAAACAGG